rnacentral:lncRNA from 1 species
GGGAUGAUUCUACUUUGAGGCUCAAGACUCAGGCUGGGCCAAUCCAAAGAUCACGCUUCCCCGAUCAUAAUGAUUGUUUCAGGGCUGUGUGUGCACCUGUCCUAAAUCAGGCCCAUCAAAGUGUUUCUGAGGACUCUGGCUGGAAUUAUCAAGUAAGAGUUGCACUUGUCUUUAGGAGCUUAGAUAUCAAGAAACUUAAACCCUGAGUUGUCAGUGGCCCUGUUGGUGGAGAGGAUCUGCCUUCAAUGUACAGCAAUCCAGAGGAAAGCUGAGUCACCAGAUGUGAUUCUUGACCAUGAUUAAGAGUGGGACUGCUGAACUGAUGAGAUGACCUGUGUAUGUGGCCGGGGCUUGUUAACUUUGAGCUCUACUUCAGGGCAUCCAGACUCUGAAACCCAUUAAGGAAGAAACUGCAUCUGUCUUGCUCACCAUUGUUCACCUAGCAUAGCACCUGUCACAAGUCAGCUGUAUUACAGAUAACUGGUGACAGUGUUCUGGAGGGAAGACCGCACUGCUCCAUUUGAACACCUCGUCGACUCACUCACUGGUUUGAAAUAUGUCAACACUCAGAGAAUGAAAACAAGAGAUAUGAAAAUAAGAGCCACACAUUGGCAGGAGUUCAAGGAAAGGCUGAAAAUGCUUCUUAGGAACUAUUUUAAUCCCAAACAGUUACCGUUUGGAGAACAGGUUGAAACAUAUGUAAUAUAGGCACCAAAAUGUAGGCGAUUAUCUCCAAAGGGCAAGAGGGGACAGAGAAUAAAGCCCAUGCUGCCCUGAGGUCGAGGAUAAAGAACUGAAGAAAUGCCUUCUUUGGUUUUCCAAGGGUCACAAUGUCAGCUGAAGAAUGAAAUGAUAAGACAAACGGAACAGCUUGAUAACACCCAAAUGGGUAUAUUUAUUCGCACAGUUCAAGCCUGACUAUUGGAGCUCUUUUCCUGUCCACUGACAGCCAUUCUGAGCAUUGUAACAAGAUCCAGAACAUGAUGUCUAGAAACCCUUAAUGAUACUCUGUACAAAGUGGAUGAACGGUGACAAGGCAGAGGAAAGUGUGUGCAGAAGUUUUGGCUCAAAAAUCCUGUGACUUUCAGAGGUUCUGUGUGUUGGCUUCAAUCUUUGAACAACACAAAGACAAUAGCUCCCACCUAAUGUUUCUGAAGAUAGAAAUGGAUGUCCCAGAGUUAGAAUUGCCUUCUGUUUAAAUAAUGCCAUUUGUGAAGUCCUUGCACUAUUGCAUGGGACAUGAUGAGAUGCCUCUGGUCUUCCCUUCCAUAAUUUCAUCCUGCCAUUUAACCAUGUGUAUUCACACUCAUUCACAUACACACACACUCCUUGAUAAAGCACUGUAUGUUGUGGUAUUGCUAUAAGGCAGUAUUAAUUAUUAUUCAAUAUCUACCAAGCAGCUAUUCUACAAUGAGAUUUUCAGAAAGGAAAUACACUGUCAAAAGUAUAACACCACCUUGUAGGAUCAGUUAAGGGAAAAAUAUGGGCUAAGGAGGCGGAAAUCCUUCUUUAGACUCACUGAGAAAUUAUGUCAAGGCUUGAAAAGUUCCAUAGGCUUUUGCAGCAUUCAAAUCUUUCCUUUAGGACCAACUUCUAUGGAAAUACACUAUGCCUGGAAUGUGCCCUGUCAAAGCCAGACAUAUUCUUUUAAUUGAAUCUUUCUCUAAGAGUAGUGAAUUUUUUUUUCAUCUGUAAUUUGCUUUUUAUGUGAAGAGAGAGACGUUCUGUUUCUCUUCUUUGGGGGGUUGUCAUAUUCCUGUAAAAACAAUCAAUGUUGGACCAUUUAUCUCUUGCUUCAUCAAACUGUGUUGUAGGAUGUAAGUAUGUGUAUGUUCACAAUAUAGAUUUUUCAUUUCUGUGUUUUACAGUCAUAUUAUUGGCGAGUGGCUCUCAUUUAUUUUGCAGAACAUUUCUAAGCCGAUGACGACCUUUAGUCUUUGUUUGUUAACUGUGUCCUGCCUGUCUACCUUUUUAUGCAAUAAUUGCUUUCAGGGAAUAAAACAGAAAUGGGGUAUUGCUUUGUUUAAUAUUUUUCAAAUCAAAUACACCAUAGCACAACCAUCUGUGAAAAUACAUUUCAGCUUUCAUCAAAUUCUGCCAUGUUUUUUUUGAGGAUUAAUAAUCCCUUCAUGUGGGUAUGCUUCUAUGGCUGAU